rnacentral:rRNA from 1 species
UGGGGAAUAUUGCACAAUGGGCGAAAGCCUGAUGCAGCGACGCCGCGUGCGGGAUGAAGGCCUUCGGGUUGUAAACCGCUUUUGAUUGGGAGCAAGCGAGAGUGAGUGUACCUUUCGAAUAAGCACCGGCUAACUACGUGCCAGCAGCCGCGGUAAUACGUAGGGUGCAAGCGUUAUCCGGAAUUAUUGGGCGUAAAGAGCUCGUAGGCGGUUUGUCGCGUCUGGUGUGAAAGUCCAUCGCUUAACGGUGGAUCUGCGCCGGGUACGGGCAGGCUAGAGUGCGACAGGGGAGACUGGAAUUCCCGGUGUAACGGUGGAAUGUGUAGAUAUCGGGAAGAACACCAAUGGCGAAGGCAGGUCUCUGGGUCGUCACUGACGCUGAGGAGCGAAAGCGUGGGGAGCGAACAGGAUUAGAUACCCUGGUAGUCCACGCCGUAAACGGUGGAUGCUGGAUGUGGGGCCCAUUCCACGGGUUCCGUGUCGGAGCUAACGCGUUAAGCAUCCGCCUGGGGAGUACGGCCGCAAGGCUA